rnacentral:lncRNA from 10 species
GGCGGCCGACGAGGCCGCGGUCAACUGGGUGUUCGUGACAGACACGCUCAACUUCUCCUUUUGGUCGGAGCAGGACGAGCACAAGUGUGUGGUGAGGUACAGAGGGAAAACAUACAGUGGGUACUGGUCCCUGUGCGCCGCCGUCAACAGAGCCCUCGACGAAGGGAUACCAAUAACUAGUGCCUCGUACUACGCGACAGUGACCCUGGAUCAGGUUCGGAAUAUACUUCGUUCUGACACAGACGUUUCCAUGCCUUUAGUAGAAGAGAGGCAUCGGAUUCUCAAUGAAACCGGGAAAAUUCUGCUGGAGAAGUUUGGAGGCUCUUUUCUCAACUGCGUCCGAGAAAGUGAGAAUAGUGCGCAGAAGUUAAUGCACCUGGUGGUUGAAAGUUUUCCUUCUUACAGAGAUGUGACUCUGUUUGAGUGUACUUGAACAAAUGAUGAUCAUUUUGUUGGACCCUCACAGGCUGCACCCGGAUUUUGUUUUUGUAAAAUUCUUUUGGAAUCUUUUGAACCUGGGAGGGGGAGGUUGCAGUGAGCCGAGAUUACGCCACCGCACUCCAGCCUGGGUGACAGAGCUGGACUCCAUCUCAAAAAAAUAAAAGAAAAAAUAAAAGAAA